UACGUAGGGUCCGAGCGUUGUCCGGAAUUACUGGGCGUAAAGAGCUCGUAGGUGGUUUGUCGCGUUGUUCGUGAAAAACUCACAGCUCAACUGUGGGCGUGCGGGCGAUACGGGCAGACUAGAGUACUGCAGGGGAGACUGGAAUUCCUGGUGUAGCGGUGGAAUGCGCAGAUAUCAGGAGGAACACCGGUGGCGAAGGCGGGUCUCUGGGCCGUUACUGACGCUGAGGAGCGAAAGCGUGGGGGAGCGAACAGG
rnacentral:rRNA from 1 species